GACGAACGCUGGCGGCGUGCCCAAUACAUGCAAGUCGAACGCACAGUUUAUACCGUAGCUUGCUACACCAUAAACUGUGAGUUGCGAACGGGUGAGUAACGCGUAGGUAACCUGCCUGGUAGCGGGGGAUAACUAUUGGAAACGAUAGCUAAUACCGCAUAAUCUUGAUUAUUGCAUGAUAAUUGAUUGAAAGAUGCUAUUGCAUCACUACCAGAUGGACCUGCGUUGUAUUAGCUAGUAGGUGAGGUAACGGCUCACCUAUGCGACGAUACAUAGCCGACCUGGGAGGGUGAUCGGCCACACUGGGACUGAGACACGGCCCAGGAUCCUACGGGAGGCAGCAGGAGGGAAUCUUCGGCAAUGGACGAAAGUCUGAACGAGCAAAGCCGCGUGAGUGAAGAAGGGUUUCGGAUCGUAAAGCUCGGUUGUAAGAGAAGAACGGGUGUGAGAGUGGAAAGUUCACACUGUGACGGUAUCUUACCAGAAAGGGACGGCUAACUACGUG
rnacentral:rRNA from 1 species